GAAUAUUGACCUGGAUACCAAAAUAAAUGGUAACCCAGGAAUACCCAUGGCCUGAACGCCGCAUCCGCUGGGGAUUAUUAUUAUUUAUUUAUUUUGCUUUUUCUUGAACCCCAAAACUUUCUGAUUUAUUUUUUUCUUUUUUUCUUGAACCCCGAACAAAUAUUUUCUUUCGCGCGGAUGAUCCCGGAUCACCGCAUUUGAACCCCGACAACUUCAUAGUAUUCUUGUU
rnacentral:lncRNA from 1 species